rnacentral:rRNA from 1 species
UAACCUGCCUUGGAGUGGGGAAUAACAGCUGGAAACAGCUGCUAAUACCGCAUGAAAUGUCUGAAUCGCAUGGUUCUGGACAUCAAAGAUUUAUCGCUCUGAGAUGGACUCGCGUCUGAUUAGCUAGUUGGUGGGGUAACGGCCCACCAAGGCGACGAUCAGUAGCCGGACUGAGAGGUUGGCCGGCCACAUUGGGACUGAGACACGGCCCAGACUCCUACGGGAGGCAGCAG